rnacentral:rRNA from 1 species
UACGGAGGGCGCAAGCGUUAUUCGGAUUCACGGGGCGUAAAGCGCGUGUCGGCGGCUUGACAAGUCGGGUGUGAAAUCCCGAGGCUCAACCUCGGAACUGCACUCGAAACUGCCUGGCUCGAGUCCCGGAGAGGGAGGCGGAAUUCCCGGUGGAGGGGUGAAAUCCGUAGAUAUCGGGAGGAACACCAGUGGCGAAGGCGGCCACCUGGACGGUUACUGACGCUGAGACUCGAAAGCGUGGGGAGCAAACAGG